UACGAAGGGGGCUAGCGUUGCUCGGAAUCACUGGGCGUAAAGGGUGCGUAGGCGGGUCUUUAAGUCAGGGGUGAAAUCCUGGAGCUCAACUCCAGAACUGCCUUUGAUACUGAAGAUCUUGAGUUCGGGAGAGGUGAGUGAAACUGCGAGUGUAGAGGUGAAAUUCGUAGAUAUUCGCAAGAACACCAGUGGCGAAGGCGGCUCACUGGCCCGAUACUGACGCUGAGGCGCGAAAGCGUGGGGAGCAAACAGG
rnacentral:rRNA from 1 species